rnacentral:antisense_RNA from 1 species
CUCUUUCCUUACUUCCUUCCCUUCCCUCGGCUUCCCGCUCUCGCCUCACUCUCAGCGGCUGCCUUCGCCCCUGUCUGCAGACAGCGCCGCUGGAUGCUCCCAGCUGGACUUGAACCCCACUCCUCUCAGUCCCUCUCCCCACUGCCUUCCAGACGCGCCUCUUCCCCGCCCCGCGCCCCUCUCUCCUCUCCCACCCCUGCCCCUCUCCGCGGCGCUCACCCUCCUCAGUCCCAGUUUCUGAAAGGACUCAGCUGAGAAAGGACAACUGGGUUCCGCUUUCCUUAACCCUACACCCUUUAGCUGGAUGCUGUCAGAGGCGAUGGAGAAACGCAAAGGCUACUAGACGCAACAAUAGAAUUACCAUAUUGUUUUUCCUGGUUUGAAAGGACCAGAUGGAAAGAAACUGGGCAAGCCAAUGAAAGUCUCUGGGGAUCAUGGGAAUUGAGUGUCUAUGAAAACCAUAUUCCAGACAAGAAUAUAGUCUAAGGACACAGCAAAAGGCAACAUUUUGGAAGCAGAGGGCAACUCUCACUGGAAACCAAAUCUCCUGGCACCUUGAUCUUGGACUUUACAGCCUCCAGAACUGAUAGCUGGGAGGCAUUAUAUAGUCAUGUGCGAGGUCAAAACUGAGUCACCACCACAACCAAGUUCCAGCUGGCAAGAAGAGGAAAAAUAACACGGAGGAGUUAUGACCAAUGUUGUAAGGAUCUGGCCUAGAAAUGGCAUGCAUCUCUUCCACUAAUAUCCUAUUGGUAAAAAUGUAGUCACAUGGGCACACCACCUAUCUGCAUGGAAGGCUGGGAAAUGUUGAUCGGUUGGGCAACCAUAUGUGUUGGAAGGAGAAAACAGAAUUUGGUGGAUACCUAGUAGUCUCUGCCAUACCCUUGACCAGAAAUUUUUCUUCUAAAGAAUUUAAUUCUAAAAAUUAUAGACAUUCCCAAAGAUUUACCUGCAAACAUCACAGCUUUGUGUAUAAUUGCAAAAGUUGAAAUCAACAUGAAUGUCCAAAAUAGUGAAUUAUUUAAACAGAUUAUUACCCAUAUUAUGAAGAAAUACUCUGCAACUCUUAAAAAUAAAUCUAAUAUGCCAGGUGCAAUGGGAUAUGCCUGCAGGCCCAGCUACACGGGAGGCCAAGACAGGAGGAUCACUUGAACUCAGGAGUUCAAGUCUAGCCUAGACAACAUAGUGAGACUUGGUCUCUAAAAAAAUAAAUAAAUAAAACUGAUGUAAUGAAUAUAUAAUUACAACAAAAGAGGUCUAACACUAUAGUAGAAAAGUUUGGGGCACUCAUGCCAUUCAUAAUUAUUUUACAUUUAAAUUACUGUUCAUACUUAAGUGGUGAGCUUGGUAACCAUUUUCGUAUCAGGUGAUACUGCUGCAGUAAUCAUAGCUGUUUGAAUCAGGAAUAAUCCCAAUCACAUUUUCUCUUAAUAGUUUAUUAUACUGGGCAUUGGGGUUGCAAGAUAAUGCACAGUCCGAGCUGAAUACAUGUCUUCAUGUACCUGUUUGUAAAUCCCACUUUUAUUCUAAAAUUCUUUGAAUAUUUUGUUUCUUGCAACCCAAUGAUCCUAAGAAAAUUAUGUACUUUUAC